rnacentral:rRNA from 1 species
GGGUAAGUCUGGGACGGGAGCAGUGGUGAGACGGAAGGGGGUAGCGUGGUUCGGAAUUACUGGGGGUCAAGCGCGCGUAGGCGGGCAUGAAAGGGAGGCGUGGAAGGCCUGGGCUCAACCUGGGAACUGCGCUUCAGACUGCACGGCGUGGGUCCGGGAGAGGGUGGUGGAAUUCCCAGUGUAGAGGUGAAAUUCGUAGAUAUUGGGAGGAACACCAGUGGCGAAGGCGGCCACCUGGCCCGGUACUGACGCUCAAGUGCGAAAGCGUGGGGAGCAAACAGGAUUAGAUACCCUAGAGUC